GUCUCAGUAACGCAAGGGAAAGCGCGUUGGACUUUUAAUCCAUAAGUCGUGGGUUCGAAUCCCACCUGGGAUA